UACAGAGGGUGCAAGCGUUAAUCGGAAUUACUGGGCGUAAAGCGUGCGCAGGCGGCUUCUCAAGUCAGGGGUGAAAGCCCAGAGCUCAACUCUGGAAUUGCCUUUGAGACUGAGUGGCUUGAGUACGAGAGAGGUGAGUGGAAUUCCCAGUGUAGAGGUGAAAUUCGUAGAUAUUGGGAAGAACACCGGUGGCGAAGGCGGCUCACUGGCCCGUAACUGACGCUCAUGCACGACAGCGUGGGGGAUCAAACAGG
rnacentral:rRNA from 1 species